CUUAGCAAGCAGGACUCCGUCGAUAUGCCUGCUUGUACACCCUAUUUACCUCUUUUCGGACACGCGUCCCCCAAUUUCAUCCGAUAGAAGACCACAACUUCCAUUUUCCUCCACCUCAGUUGCUUCUAGCAGAAAACCACAGCUUCCAUCAUCCUCUACUUCGCUUGCUUCCGCUGCUUCUUACUCAAGCUCUCUGCUUCGCUUCUGCUCACUGAGAAAGGGGAAUAGCACACGCCUCUCCGUAACGCGUGUGCUUCCUGAAAUUACGUUGAAGUUGAAGGGCAGUUCGGUCAUUCUCUAACUUAGAGAUGAUCCCUUCUCUACCUCAAUUCAAUCGCCGCCAAUCUUGAUCUCUCUUCCUCUUCUCUUCUUCCAGUUUUGUGCUAUCGUUGAUUCCGUCGUUCUGUCCUGGAGCAUAUGUCCACUCGCGAUGAAAAUAUAAGAACGCAAAUCACAUAAACAAUUUCUUUCCACCACACAACAAUAGUGGAAUCGAUACAAUGCGUCGCAUCUAUCAAGUAAACAAAAUAGUGGCUAUGCUUUGAUAUAGAGGAACUUUGGUUUAUCAUUAUUAUAACAGGAUACUGUGAAGAACAAAUACAAGCCUCAAGAAUGAUGGUUGAAUUCAUUGAACUAACACUAAAGAUAGAUAAAAUAUUUGCAUAGAGGAAAAUUGUGAUUGUAUUUUGAUAUUCAUUUUGAUUGUUUCAUCGUUGUCGAUAUUUGCAACUCAUAUCUAUGACUCAUAAUAAAAUUUGGCUUAAGUCA